rnacentral:lncRNA from 1 species
GCAUCGGCCGUAUCCCCACCCACUUGUUUUGGUCCAAGGGCAGAAAUGAACAUCCUGGAAACCAAUCAGUACUUGCGCUCUGAACUGGAAAAGUGCAAACAGAACUUCCGAGACCUCACAGAGAAAUUCCUGACAUCCAAAGCAACUGCCUACUCCCUGGCCAAUCACCUGCAGAAAUACAAUACAUGAUCCCUUAAUUCAGGCUCAGGCUGAAGAACUGACCCACUUACUACAGAAGAUACAGGAAGGAAGAGGUGUCUACUAGCUUUUCACCCAGCAUGUGAAGAACACAGUCAAGUCUUUUGAGGGCCUUCUCAGGAACACUGGCAUUGCCUGCUACCAGAGACAGAGAUUCUGUGAGCAAAUGGUACAAGGAAUCCAGCUGACAGAGGUUCUUGUCAGAAAACUUGCCACAGAAGAUGAGAUCCAGAGCCAGUGGCAGCACCUGAAGGAAACCCUUUUCAUCAACAACUGCCUGCCAGGAAUGCUGGAAUGUCAUCUCAGCAGCUUUGACGAACAAAAUGGUAGGAGAAGCCCAAGUUGGUCUGCUUCUGGCAAUAUGUAUUUUUCUAAAGGCAUGUCACUGGUGCAGAGUUUUAUAGAUUUCAAGCACUUUGACAUACUUUACUUCACUUAUUCAUUACAAAGGUCCCAGCUAGAGAGGUAGGG